UGACCUGGGCGGCUGGGUCGUUAUCUUUGUCUGUCCUUCCCGACGCUGCCACAGCCUGCUCUGAUGGGGCGGAGGUACAUCCAGUGACCGGUGUGGCCUGGCCAGAAAAAUAAUCAGAUCAGCCGCAAGGAGCCUGGCAUCUAAGAAAGCAGAGAAGGGAUCCAAAAGGGCAUACACAUAUCCCGGGGGCCCGCGGGAGCAAGAGCGUCAGUCCUCUAGGUUCAGGAGCGCGGAAGAAGGACCAGGGCUACGGUUGGAGGGCGUCGUCGAGAAGGAAGCGUUGACCGUGGGGGCAAAGCGGCAUGGGCAAGGGCCUGGGGCUGGGUAGGAACUCCGAAGUUUAGCCGGGGAUCCGAGCGCUGCGGGCACCCACACAGGCAGCUCGUCAUCCUGGAAAAUCAACAGCCCGGGAAUCGCAGUUUGCCGACCCCGCUACCAACGGUGCGUGGCGCGCCCCGGGCGGACAUCUCCAGCUCCGGCAACGAAGAGUCCGGUUUGGCUCGGCCAGAAACCCAGAGGCAUCGAGAUCAGAGCUCCUGAGAAUCCUGGGGAUGGAAGACUAGUUGAAAUCGGUGGGUAGCCUGAAAUCUAGCCUGCUUCACUGUGUCUCGGACUCCUGGCCCAGCCCUGGUCUAUCAUCCCAUUCCUCCUGGGAUAAAGAGCUGUCUUUUGUGAGGUUCUGUCGGGGUCUGAAUACAACCAACUUUGGACAAGUUUUGUUUUGUUUUGUUUUUGUUGUUGAACGAACAUCUCCAUCUAUAUUAUGGAUCUUGUUUCCUUUAUGCCGACCGCCUCCUU